AAGCACAUGAAGAAACUCGGAUUCCCCUUCAGGACAACCUGGAUGAUGUUAAUUCGAGUUUCUGAUGCA
rnacentral:snoRNA from 1 species